rnacentral:rRNA from 1 species
ACGGAGGAUGCAAGCGUUAUCCGGAUUUAUUGGGUUUAAAGGGUCCGUAGGCGGAUCUUUAAGUCAGUGGUGAAAGCCCACAGCUCAACUGUGGAACUGCCAUUGAUACUGGAGAUCUUGAGUGUAGUAGAAGUAGGCGGAAUAGGGCAUGUAGCGGUGAAAUGCAUAGAUAUGCCCUAGAACACCGAUUGCGAAGGCAGCUUACUAUGUUACAACUGACGCUGAGGGACGAAAGCGUGGGGAGCAAACAGGAUUAGAUACCCUGGUAGUCCACGCCGUAAACGAUGAUUACUCGUUGUUGGCGAUAUACAGUCAGUGACCAAGCGAAAGCGUUAAGUAAUCCACCUGGGGAGUACGCCGGCAACGGUG